rnacentral:rRNA from 1 species
GAUGAACGCUAGCGAGACGCCUAACACAUGCAAGUCGAACGCUGAUUUAUCAGCGUGGCAAACGGGUGCGUAACACGUGCUUAACCUGCCCUGGAGCGGGGGAUACCUGUGGAAACACAACUAAUCCCGCAUACGCUCCGCAUUAUGAAAAAUUGCGGAGGAAAGAUUUAUCACUCUAGGAGGGGGGCGCGGCCUAUUAGCUAGUUGGUGAGGUAAUAGCUCACCAAGGCAAUGAUGGGUAGCUGGUCUGAGAGGAUGAUCAGCCACAAUGGAACUGAGACACGGUCCAUACCCCUACGGGGGGCAGCAGUGGGGAAUCUUGCACAAUGGACGAAAGUCUGAUGCAGCGAUCUCGCGUGGAGGAUGAAGCAUUACGGUGUGUAAACUUCUUUUUUGGAGGAAGACGACUGACGGUACUCCAAGAAUAAGGGACGGCUAACUACG